rnacentral:misc_RNA from 1 species
AAGUCGUAACAAGGUUUCCGUAGGUGAACCUGCGGAAGGAUCAUUAACACGUUUCGUUCCGAACGUUUUCUGACCUAUUCUAUUUUCCGUGCACAAAACAUACAACACCCGGCCUCCUGACCUUUCCUCUCAGUUUAUUCUGUCUGUGAUCGUGCCAGGCGUCAUAUGGGGUAACAUAGGACUCGUUGUCUUGAAAAGUUAUGCGAGCGGAAUGCUUGCGCUACUUAGUAGAGACUGUGAGGCCUCCCAUUGACGUUGCCAACUCACCCAACCCUUAAAUCUAAUUGCUCUGAACUCUAGUUAUGAUUCACGUCAUAACGAUUUUAAAACAAAUAACAACUCUUAACAACGGAUAUCUUGGUUCUC